CAACCUACCUAUCAGAGGGGAAUAACCCGGCGAAAGUCGGACUAAUACCGCAUAAAACAGGGGUUCCACAUGGAAAUAUUUGUUAAAGAAUUAUCGCUGAUAGAUGGGCAUGCGUUCCAUUAGAUAGUUGGUGAGGUAACGGCUCACCAAGUCCACGAUGGAUAGGGGUUCUGAGAGGAAGGUCCCCCACGCUGGUACUGAGACACGGACCAGACUCCUACGGGAGGCAGCAGUGAGGAAUAUCGGUCAAUGGGCGAGAGCCUGAACCAGCCAAGUCGCGUGAAGGAUGAAGGAUCUAUGGUUUGUAAACUUCUUUUAUAUGGGAAUAAAGUGAGGAACGUGUUCCUUUUUGUAUGUACCAUAUGAAUAAGCAUCGGCUAACUCCGUGCCAGCAGCCGCGGUAAUACGGAGGAUGCGAGCGUUAUCCGGAUUUAUUGGGUUUAAAGGGUGCGUAGGUGGUUAAUUAAGUCAGCGGUGAAAGUUUGUGGCUCAACCAUAAAAUUGCCGUUGAAACUGGUUGACUUGAGUAUAUUUGAGGUAGGCGGAAUGCGUGGUGUAGCGGUGAAAUGCAUAGAUAUCACGAAGAACUCCGAUUG
rnacentral:rRNA from 1 species